UAGGGAAUCUUGGGCAAUGGGCGAAAGCCUGACCCAGCGAUGCCGCGUGUGUGAAGAAGGCCUUCGGGUUGUAAAGCACUUUCAGUAGUGAAGAAAAGCUUGAGGCUAAUACCCUCGAGUCAUGACGUUAACUACAGAAGAAGAUCCGGCUAACUCCGUGCCAGCAGCCGCGGUAAUACGGAGGGAUCGAACGUUAAUCGGAAUUACUGGGCGUAAAGCGCGCGUAGGCGGUUCGGUAAGUGGGAUGUGAAAGCCCUGGGCUCAACCUGGGAACUGCAUUCCAAACUGCCGGACUAGAGUUUGGUAGAGGGAGGUAGAAUUUCCUGUGUAGCGGUGAAAUGCGUAGAUAUAGGAAGGAAUACCGAUGGCGAAGGCAGCCUCCUGGAUCAAAACUGACGCUGAGGUGCGAAAGCGUGGGGAGCAAACAGGAUUAGAUACCCCCGUAGUCC
rnacentral:rRNA from 1 species